rnacentral:rRNA from 1 species
GGGAGCUUGCUCCCUGAUGUUAGCGGCGGACGGGUGAGAAACACGUGGGUAACCUGCCUGUAAGACUGGGAUAACUCCGGGAAACCGGGGCUAAUACCGGAUGGUUGUUUGAACCGCAUGGUUCAGACAUAAAAGGUGGCUUCGGCUACCACUUACAGAUGGACCCGCGGCGCAUUAGCUAGUUGGUGAGGUAACGGCUCACCAAGGCGACGAUGCGUAGCCGACCUGAGAGGGUGAUCGGCCACACUGGGACUGAGACACGGCCCAGACUCCUACGGGAGGCAGCAGUAGGGAAUCUUCCGCAAUGGACGAAAGUCUGACGGAGCAACGCCGCGUGAGUGAUGAAGGUUUUCGGAUCGUAAAGCUCUGUUGUUAGGGAAGAACAAGUGCCGUUCAAAUAGGGCGGCACCUUGACGGUACCUAACCAGAAAGCCACGGCUAACUACGUGCCAGCAGCCGCGGUAAUACGUAGGUGGCAAGCGUUGUCCGGAAUUAUUGGGCGUAAAGGGCUCGCAGGCGGUUUCUUAAGUCUGAUGUGAAAGCCCCCGGCUCAACCGGGGAGGGUCAUUGGAAACUG